rnacentral:rRNA from 3 species
AUUAGUGGCGAACGGGUGAGUAACACGUGAGUAACCUGCCCUUAACUCUGGGAUAAGCCUGGGAAACUGGGUCUAAUACCGGAUAGGAGCGUCCACCGCAUGGUGGGUGUUGGAAAGAUUUAUCGGUUUUGGAUGGACUCGCGGCCUAUCAGCUUGUUGGUGAGGUAAUGGCUCACCAAGGCGACGACGGGUAGCCGGCCUGAGAGGGUGACCGGCCACACUGGGACUGAGACACGGCCCAGACUCCUACGGGAGGCAGCAGUGGGGAAUAUUGCACAAUGGGCGCAAGCCUGAUGCAGCGACGCCGCGUGAGGGAUGACGGCCUUCGGGUUGUAAACCUCUUUCAGUAGGGAAGAAGCGAAAGUGACGGUACCUGCAGAAGAAGCACCGGCUAACUACGUGCCAGCAGCCGCGGUAAUACGUAGGGUGCGAGCGUUAUCCGGAAUUAUUGGGCGUAAAGAGCUCGUAGGCGGUUUGUCGCGUCUGUCGUGAAAGUCCGGGGCUUAACCCCGGAUCUGCGGUGGGUACGGGCAGACUAGAGUGCAGUAGGGGAGACUGGAAUUCCUGGUGUAGCGGUGGAAUGCGCAGAUAUCAGGAGGAACACCGAUGGCGAAGGCAGGUCUCUGGGCUGUAACUGACGCUGAGGAGCGAAAGCAUGGGGAGCGAACAGGAUUAGAUACCCUGGUAGUCCAUGCCGUAAACGUUGGGCACUAGGUGUGGGGACCAUUCCACGGUUUCCGCGCCGCAGCUAACGCAUUAAGUGCCCCGCCUGGG